rnacentral:misc_RNA from 1 species
GUGAAUCAUCAAAUCUUUGAACGCAAAUUGCACUCUCUGCGGAGAGGAUGCCUGUGUGAGGGUCAGAAUUAAUAAAAAUCGGUGUGUUGCUUCUGUGGGACGCUCCGGAGUUUGUGGCAUCUUAAUAUCCUUAAGGUUUUAAGAGGCUUAAAAUUGACUUUUUUUGCGCAUUUUAGAGGGACAUAAAUUCUAUUUUUUAUUCGACUGUCUUAAUGCUCAAAAUCCUAUUAGAGGCGACCAGAUGGUGUGGGUUCGUGUCUAUAAAUUUGUCAU